ensembl:lncRNA
AUGAGGAGUGGGUGUUUGUUUCCUGCUUCACAGUUAGGGCAGGAACAAGCCCAGACGCAGCUUACCAGAGCAUGAAAAUGAAAUGGCCACCUCCUGUAACAAGAAACACUUCUAGAAGAGGAAGGAGACAUCAAUACAUUCACAAAACCUUCAACUCGAAGUCUGUCUUGCCAAUAAGUGUGCAGGGAUAAAGACAGAAAAGUAGCACACAUGUCUCCAGAGGCUUCACUCGGCAGCUGAAAGCCACAGCCAAUCCUCAGAUAGAGCUCGGGAAGUCUUGUGGAAGAGUGGUGGGGAGAGUGACAAGGAAACUGGUUGGGUUAAAACACUACAAGAAGUCCCCUACCGUCAGAUACCUUGGACCAUGGAGUAUGCUAGAGCCUGU